GACGAACGCUGGCGGCGUGCUUAACACAUGCAAGUCGAACGGAAAGGCCCUGCUUUUGUGGGGUGCUCGAGUGGCGAAAGGGUGAGUAACACGUGAGUAACCUGCCCUUGACUUUGGGAUAACUUCAGGAAACAGGGGCUAAUACCGGAUAGGAGCUCCUGCUGCAUGGUGGGGGUUGGAAAGUUUCGGCGGUUGGGGAUGGACUCGCGGCUUAUCAGCUUGUUGGUGGGGUAGUGGCUUACCAAGGCUUUGACGGGUAGCCGGCCUGAGAGGGUGACCGGCCACAUUGGGACUGAGAUACGGCCCAGACUCCUACGGGAGGCAGCAGUGGGGAAUAUUGCACAAUGGGCGGAAGCCUGAUGCAGCAACGCCGCGUGCGGGAUGACGGCCUUCGGGUUGUAAACCGCUUUCGCCUGUGACGAAGCGUGAGUGACGGUAAUGGGUAAAGAAGCACCGGCUAACUACGUG
rnacentral:rRNA from 1 species